rnacentral:rRNA from 1 species
GACGAACGCUGGCGGCGUGCUUAACACAUGCAAGUCGAACGGUAAGGCCCUUCGGGGUACACGAGUGGCGAACGGGUGAGUAACACGUGGGUGAUCUACCCUGCACUUCGGGAUAAGCCUGGGAAACUGGGUCUAAUACCGGAUAGGACCCUGGGAUGCAUGUCCUGGGGUGGAAAGCUUUUGCGGUGUGGGAGGGGCCCGCGGCCUAGCAGCUUGUUGGUGGGGUGAUGGCCUACCAAGGCGACGACGGGUAGCCGGCCUGAGAGGGUGACCGGCCACACUGGGACUGAGAUACGGCCCAGACUCCUACGGGAGGCAGCAGUGGGGAAUAUUGCACAAUGGGCGCAAGCCUGAUGCAGCGACGCCGCGUGAGGGAUGACAGCCUUCGGGUUGUAAACCUCUUUCAGCACCGACGAAGCGCAAGUGACGGUAGGUGCAGAAGAAGGACCGGCCAACUACGUGCCAGCAGCCGCCGUAA